CUGCAACUCAUUCUCACAGAGUUUUUGCUAAAAUGCGCUAUAUGCGUAUCGAGCAGUGACGAAUUCUGAUCUUUCAGAAUACGAGAGCAAAAAUAAAUGGCGAAUUGGAUCUCCUCGAAACUCAAAGUCGCUGAGACCUUCUUCGAACAGAUAGAUCAGCAAGCGGCUGAAUCGUUGAAGAAGAACGAGGAUCCGUCGCGAUAUGAGGAUAAAAAAUUUCGUGUCCCUUCAAGAACAGCACGAGGAGGAGGAGGAGGUGCUGGUGGAACGGUGUCGAUGAAGGACCAGUUGAAGAAUAAAACAGCUCAUGAAACAAACAAUGGUAAUAGCCAUAAGUAUUUUGGAAAAUCGAGUACUGAUCCUAAUGUUAAGAAUCUAAGUGAUUUUAGUAACGUUAGUAGUAAUAGCAAUGGAGGAGGUAAAGAGAUUGCAAAUGCCCCAAAAUCUUCUCCGAAGCCUAGGCCUACACUUACUGAUAGUGAUUGGACUGAGCUCCUUAGUAGUCCAACUCAGGCUACACCUUCAUCCUCUUCAAAUUGCCGUAAUGAGGUAUCUGCGAUUCGAGGGUUGAG
rnacentral:misc_RNA from 1 species